AGAGCGAACGCUGGCGGCAGGCCUAACACAUGCAAGUCGAGCGCCCGUAGCAAUGCGGGAGCGGCAGACGGGAUAGUAACACGUGGGAACGCGCCCUUCGGUUCGGAAUAACUCAGGGAAACUUGAGCUAAUACCGGAUACGCCCUUACGGGGAAAGAUUUAUUGCCGAAGGAACGGCCCGCGUCCGAUUAGCUAGUUGGUGAGGUAAUGGCUCACCAAGGCGACGAUCGGUAGCUGGUCUGAGAGGAUGACCAGCAUCACUGGGACUGAGACACGGCCCAGACUCCUACGGGAGGCAGCAGUGGGGAAUAUUGGACAAUGGGCGCAAGCCUGAUCCAGCCAUGCCGCGUGGAUGAUGAAGGCCUUAGGGUUGUAAAGUCCUUUUAACGGGGAAGAUAAUGACGGUACCCGUAGAAUAAGCCCCGGCUAACUUCGUGCCAGCAGCCGC
rnacentral:rRNA from 1 species